rnacentral:lncRNA from 1 species
UUCUCUUCACAAUUCAUAUUACAUAUUUACACUCUCAACGAACAACGGAAACACAACAAUAAUGGAUGAUGAAUCCACUAUACCAACGGCAAACGGAGAACGAUGACGACAUUAAAUCCACCAGACCAACAGAGAAUGACAACUAGUAGUGAAUUAGGUAUCAUUUUCUUCUAUUCAUAUUUCUUUUCUUAUUAUUUUUUUAUGCCACUUCUUUUCUUUUCUAACUUUUCAUUUUAACCAUUGAUUCUUUAAAGUGAAGAGUCUGACUUUUUCUUUUAGCGAUUUUUUUGACUAAUUAAUUCUAUAAAUUGAAUUUUCCAAUUCUGUAAACACUCUAAUUCUAUAAACACUAAACAUUCUUAAUUUUAUUUUCUCAUUCAAAUUUUAUAUAGAUGGAUGAUGAAAGUCAAGUUAGUGUGGGUGGUUCAACUGAUAGUGCUCUUGAUAAUGGCAAGCACAACUCAAUUUGACACUACGGAUCCAAAGAAAAGGAAAGAAAUAAAAAGUAGAUCUGCUGCUUGGGAACAUUUUUAAGAUAUAUUUGAAAAUGGUAAAUUAGUUAAAGAAAAGUAUUUGUAUUGUCAUAAAAAUUAUGCUGCUUCAACUAAAAAUUGAACAAGUGGACUGAGAUAAUAUUUGGUUAGAUGCAAAGUGUAUAAGCCCCCGCCCACCCCAUCGAGUAGUCAAACAUUGUUAAACUUUCAAACAAAGGAUUCAUCGGGAGAAUAUUAUAAAUUUGAGAAAGAAGUAGUUAGGAGAUCUUUAGUUGAGAUGAUAAUUGUAAAUGAGCUACCAUUUAGCUUUGGAGAAACUCAGCCUUUAAGAAGUUUAUGAGUAAAGCCCAACCUUUGUUUUGAAUUCCUUCACGUAGAACAAUAAUAAGAGAUUUUUAUAAUGUUUAUGGUGAAUUGAGAGUAAGCUUAAAGAGGUCUUUUAGAUAGAUACAACCAAGAAUUUAUCUUACAAUAAACACAUAAACGUCAGUGCAAAGAAUUAACUAUAUGUGUUUGACUGCUCACUUUAUUGGUAAAGAUUGGGUGUUUCAUAAAAGAAUAUUAAAGUUUUUCCCUAUCACUAGUCAUAAAGGUGAGAAUUUGGCAGAGUUUAUUAGUAAUUAUUUUCUUGACUGAAAUUUGGACAAUAUCUUUACUAUUACUGUUGACAAUGCUUCUUCAAAUAAUAUUGCAGUUUCAGCUUUGUCUAAGAAGUUAGAUAAAUGGGGAACCAAUGUAAUGGAUGGUAAUCAUCUCCACAUUAGAUGUAUGGCUCACAUACUUAAUGUAAUUGUGCAAGAUGGUUUGCAGGAAAUUGCUCUUUCUACCAAACAUGUAAGGCAAAUGGUUAAGUAUGUUAGAUCCUCUCCUACAGGAACAAGAAAUUUCAUUAAAUAUUGUGAAAUGCAAAAGAUAGAAUAUGGUAAGAUAUUAUCAUUAGAUGUGACUACUAGGUGAAAUUCCACCUAUUUGAUGUUGGAGGUAGUAAAAAAGUUUGAGAAGGAUUUUUAGCGGUUUAAUCUUUUUUAUGUUAACUUUAAUUCUUAUCACUAUACUGUGUUUGUGAAGAUGGUAGCAUUGCAGGUUCAAUCCAAAGUGAUGAUUGGGAAAAUGUGAGGAAUAUCAUAAAGUUUUUUGAAUGAUUUUAUGAGCUCACCUUAAAGGCAUUAGGUUCAUAGUAUGUUACUUGUAAUGUUCAUUUUGAGGAUAUAUGUGAACUUGAUUCUUAUUUUAAAGUAUGUAUGACAAGUGAUAAUAUUGAGUUUCAUAAAAUGGAUAUGGCAAUGAAAGAUAAGUUCAACACUUAUUGGGGGACUCCUGAAAAGAUAAACAAAAUGAUUUUUGUUACUUCUGUGUUGGAUCCUCAUAAUAAUUUUAAGUAUGUUAGCUAGUGCUUGAAUAGUUAUUAAGGAAAGACAUGGGAAAGAAAGCAUGUGAUAAAGUAGAAACUUCUUUGAAGGAUUUGUUUGCUUUCUAUGUAAGAAAGUAUUCAAAUUGUACUAACAAUUCAUCCGAAUACACUUCAUCUGACUUAUUUGGAUUUGAUUCUUCAUCUAAUUGUGCUCUUUCUCAAAGUUUGAAAACAAAUAUUUUGAAAAAUAUGCUUCACAUGUAGAAAAUGUCAAAAUAUUGUGGUAGUACUGGAGGUACUAAAUCAUAGUUGGAUAAAUACCUUGGUAAAGACCAAGAGCCUAUGCCCAAGCCUGGAUCUGAAUUUGAAUCUAAAGAUUUAAAUAUAUUAAAUGGGUGGAAAGUUAAUUCUCCUAACUUUUCUAUCCUUUCACAGUUGGCUCAUGAUGUAUUGGCUAUUGGUAAUGCUCCAAUUUUUUGGUACUCAAAAAUUUUUUGAGUUUUGAGCUUUCUUUCCUAGCAAUGACUCAUCUAAUAGGUCGUAAUAUGUCUUGAUGGGUCAGAUGACCCUAGUCGUAAGGUGUCCAGUAAAUGGUGCUUGAGUUAUUGUCUUGGGUACGACUUGGGGACACGAGUUGUAAAGACUCAUAGUGAGUCGUUGGAAUGGAAUCAUAACCAAAUAAAAAAUUAAAUGGUUAAGUUUUGGUUUGAGUAUGACUAGCUCACUAUGAGCAGUAAGGACUUGUUAUGAGAUAUUCGGUGCAAAUCUUAGCAUGUCCAGUGUUUACCCAAUUGGGUUCUGUGUUGACUUUGUUAGGUCUUUAUGAGUCAUAGGUCUUAUUAUGAGUGGUACCAGUUGACUCGUAGCAUUAAUAAUGGGAGGAGUUCCUAGAGAUUAUCUUGGUUAUGAAUCAUGGUGGCGAUUCAUAAAAAGUGGCUACAAGUCAACAAUCGACCCAUAGUCAAUGGCAGCACUUUCUCAGCUUAUAAAUUAAGGGCAUACUGGACAUUUCCCCUCUUACCCAAAUUAAAAUCCACAUCUUAUAAUCCCUUUAGGAUGUCAUUAGCACUUAAAAAAAAAUUUAUUUAACUUCUUAAACACUCCAAAACGCUCUCUGAAUUCCCUUAUGCAAGUCCAUCUAGGGUUUCAUCAAGCUAGUCAUCUAAGGGCUUAAGGGUCAAUUUCUCUACAAGUUUCUUGGUAUUUAACGUAGUUACUCUUUCCUCAUAGUUAAUUUGUUAAAAACAUAUGUUUUAAAGUAGUGUUUAUGAGAUAUUGUAUUGGUUUUAUAACAAGGGUUGAGGGUUUUGAAUGCUUAUUAUUGAAUAGUGUUUUCCCAUGUUUUACAUAUGAUUUUUCAUGCUUUAAUUAUGGUUUUGAACUUGUGGGUACAUGGGUAUGGUGAAUGAACUAUGCAAUUGUGAUUUUCCCAAACCUGUGACUUUGAAAUGGUUAUGACCCCAACCCCAUAAUGUGAAAUUGGUUUUUAAUUAUGAAAAAUGUAGAAAUUUGUAAAAUUGAACCAAGAGAGUUGUGAAUUUCUCCUAAGUGAUGCACCUCGAGUGGGAUUGGGUAGUGUUUUGAUGAAGCAUGGCAAAGUGGUUGCUUAUGCCCCUAGAAAGUUAAAAUAUCAUGAGAAGAAUUAUUCAACCCAUGAUUUGAAGUUAUUAGUUAUGGUGUUUGCAUUAAAGAUCUGGCGGUAUUAUUUGUAUGGGGUCCAUGUUGAUUUUUAUUCUGAUCAUAAGAGACUGCAAUAUGUUUUCACACAGAAAUAAUUGAAUCUAAGGUAAAAGAGGUGGCUUAAAAUGCUAAAGGACUAUGACACGAGUCUGCACUAUCAUCAAGGUAAAGCUAACGUGGUUGCUGAAACUCUUAGCAUGUUAUCCAUGGGGAGCUUGUCUCACGUGGAUGAGGAGAAAUGGGAUUUGCUAAAGGAUAUUCACUAUCUGUCUAAUCUAGGAGUUCGUCUUUUAGAUUUUGAGGAUGGUGGUAUGAUUAUUCAAUAGGUGGCAAGGUCAUCUCUUGGUGAUGAAGUAAAGGAGAAACAAGUAUUAGAUCCUAUUCUGAUGAAAAUCAAGAAUGAUGUAGGUAGACUAAAAGUAAUGGUUUUUGAGAUUCAUGGUGAUGGUAUCUUAACCAAGGUAGAUUAUUUAUUCCCGAUGUUGAUGGGUUGUAAUGAAAAAUUUUGGCCAAAGCUCAUGAGGCACAUUAUGCUAUUAAUCCUGGUUCAAUGAAAAUGUACCAUGACCUCAAGAAAAUUUAUUAGUGGAAUAAUAUGAAGUGGGAUGUGGCCAAAUUUAUGGCUAAGUGCUUUGUAUUUAAAUGAGUGAAGGCAGAGAAUUUGAGGCCCAGUGGGUUGACUUUAGAUAUUGAGCUGACAGUGUGGAAAUUCGAGAUAAUUAAUAUGGAUAUUGUUAUCGAUCUUUUGCGGUCUCGCCAUCAAUUUGACUCGAUUUGGGUCAUCAAGGAUUGGAUGACUAAGUCUGCUCAUUUUUUUCCAGUGAGGACAAAUUUCUCUUCUGAGAAUUAUGCUAGGUUGUUGAUUGAGGAUAUCAUGAAAUUGCAUGUUUCUCCAAUUUCCAUCAUAUAUGAUUGGGGUACUCACUUUUUAUCUCACUAUUGGAGGUCGUUCCAUUGCAAUUUUGGGACUAAGGUGACCCUUAGUACUACUUUCCACCCACAGAUAUAUGGGCAAGCAGAAAGGACAAUUUAAGUUUCGAAAGAUAUGCUUCGAGCUUGUGUGUUUGAUUUUGGGAGUGAUUGGGUUGACCAUUUGCCUCUCAUAUAAUUUGCCUACAACAACAGUUAUCACUCUAGCAUUGGUAUAGCUCCAUUUUAUGCCUUAUACCAUACAAGGUGUAGGUCUUCUAUUAGGUGGUUUGAGGUCGGUGAAAAUAAGUUGUGUUGCCCUAAAUUAGUUCACCAAGCCAUGGGGAAGGUGAAGGUGAAGGUGAUUUGAGAUAGACUUAAGGCCUCCAAAAGUCACUAAAAGUCCUAUGCAGAUGUGAGGCGAAGGGAGUUGGAGUUCAGUAUUAGUGAUUGGGUGUUCUUAAAGGUAUCUCCCAUGAAGGGAGUGAUGUAAUUUGGUAAGAAAGGGAAGCUCAGUCCUCGUUAUGUCGGUCCGUACUUGGUGUUGAAGAAGGUUGGUAAUGUUACAAAUAAAUUAGAGUUGCCUUAUUAUUUGAGCUCUAUUCACCCGGUGUUUCAUGUUUCGAUUUUGAGAAAGCACGUGGGUGAUCCUUCGAUGGUUGUUCCUUUAGAGAAGAUGGGUAUUUUGGAUUCCUUAUCCUACUAAGAGGUCUAGUUUGAGAUUUUGUAUCGUCAAGUGCGCUUGUUGCGGAUGAAGGAUGUGGCUUCAAUAAAGGUUCUUUGGAGGAACCAAAAGGUUUAGAAAGCUACUUGGGAAGCCGUGUAGGACAUUAAGUUCAAGUGUCCAUUCUUAUUUCCCGCUCUGAAUAAUCAUGCUUAAGGUAUGUGUAUUUCUUAAUAUCUUUAUUUCCUGACUUUGUUAAAGAAAAUGGUUGUUUCCUUGGAAUCAUUAUUUUCUGUCAUUGUUAAAGGUAAGAGUAGUGGUAUAAGGAAAUAAUUGUGCUAAUAAAUGCAUUGUCCUGUCAUUCAAGGACGAAUGAUCCUAAGAAGGGAGUACGUAAUGCCUUGGGUUUUUUAUCCUUAAAAAAUUCUGAGUUCUGCUUUUUGCCCUAGCAAUGAUUCAUCUAAUGAGUCAUAAUGUAUCUUGAUGAGUCAGGUGAACCUAGUUAUAAAGUGUGCAAAAAAUAUUGCUUAAGUUAUUUUCUUGGGUAUGACUAGGGGACACGAGUUAUAAAUACUCUUAAAGAGUCGUUGGAAUGGAAUCAUAACCAAAUAAGAAAUUAAGUGGUUAGGUUAUCUUCUGAGUAUGAGUAUCUCACUAUAAGUCAUAAGAUUAUGAGUCGUUGGGUACAACUAAUAGGAUUCUUAGUGUUUACCCAAUUGGGUUCUGUUUUGACUUCGAUAGAACUCUACUAGUCGUAAGGUCUCAUUACGAGUGAUACCAGUUGAGUCGUAGGGUCAACAGUUGGAGGGGGUCCUAGAUACUAUCUUGGUUAUGAGUUGUGGUGAUGAAUUAUAAAGAGUAGGUAUAAGUCAAUGGUUUACCCAUAGUCAAUGGAGGCACUUUUUCAGCUUUUAAGUUAAGGGCAUACUGGAUAUUUCCUCUCUUACCCAUAUUAAAACCCAUGUCUUAUAACAACUUUUGAGUAUCAUUAGCACUCAGAAAUAAAUCUAAGUAACUUCUCAACUACUCCAAAAGGCCCUCUAAAUUCCCUUAAGCAAGUCAAGCUAAGGUUUCAUGAAGUUGGUCAUCUAAGGGCUCAAGGGCUGAUUUCUCUACAAAUAUCUUGGUGCUUAAGGCAUGUUACUGCUCCCUUAUUGUUAAUUUGUUAAACAUACAUAUUUUAAAGUAUUGUUCAUGAGAUAUUCAUGUUGGUUUUUAUAACAAGGGCUGGGGGUUUUGACUACUUAUUGUUGAAUGAUGUUUUCCUAUGGUUUACAUAUCAUUUUUCAUGCUUUAGUUAUAGUUUUAAACUUGUGGGUGCAUGGUUAUGGUCAUUGAACUACGGAAUGUUUAUUUUCCCAAACUUGUGACUUUUGAUGUGGUUAUGACCCCAACCACAUAAUUUGAAAUUAGUUAUUAAUUAUGAGAAAUAUGAGAAUUUGUAAAAUUAAACCAAGGGGGUUGUGAAUUUCCCCCAAGUGAUGUAAUUGUUCUGGCAUGUUUUUGUUACCUUGCAAGUGUAGUUUGCAUGACAAUACCAACAAUGUAUGCCUAAGUAUGUAUUAUGGUUUAAUGAAUGAGAUUGCGUGAUAAAUGUUUUAAUUGGUCUUUAAUAGGGGUUGUGUAGCUAAAUCAUGAAAGUGGAGGUCCGAAUGACCGAUACUUGAAACUGCAUUUACCGAUGCGGGGGUAAAAAUAACAAGGGAUGUUUGGAUCCCCUGAUUAUUAUUACAUGAUUAGGGAGAUUCGAGUUCCUCAUAAAUCAACACAUGAUCGUGAGCUUAUGCCACCUCAGUAUAUAAUUGGGAGGUUCAAGUCCCCCAUGUAUAUAUAUAAGAUUAUUUUCUGAUUCAAGUGGCUAGACGCACUGGGGCCCAAUUAGGCGGUGAGAGAUGGUCCCAUAUAGCCCAUAGGUGCAUAUUGUAACGAUUGAGCUACAUAAUCUAGGUUAAAUUUUUAAAAUAUGUGUUACGCCUUGUUUCCCUAUCCCGGCAUGUGAAGCAUAUAUAUAUGUAUAUGUAUAUGCAUUUGACUAUGUGCAUUGAUUUUUGAAUGAUUUUAAACAUCUGAUCAUGACAUUUUGUUAUCCUUAUCCUAUGUUUCAUGCUAGCUCUCCAACUGCUAACCAUCUUCAAAUAUUAUAUCCCCACACGAUGCAGGAAUUGGUCAUGCUUCUACUCCUCCUACUCAAUGAUUAGGAUUUUAGAUCAUCUUUUGAGUUGACAUCUAAGUGGUGAGCUUUCAUACAUCAAAAUUCUACAUUUCAUGUUUUGGUCUUUAAUGCCUCAAACUAUUUAGACUUAUUUUAGGCUAUAGUCGGGGGCAUGUCCUGACACUUCAUUGAUAUUUAGUUUUGGUUCUUUGUUUAGAAUGCUUUGUUUGGACUAUAGUGGUUAUUGGGCGGUGUUGGUUGAUUAUUUUGGGCUGGUCACCGAUCGUCGGGUAUAAACAUGUUUUGAAUUUUCUUAAGCUUAUUAUACACUAUCUUGUUAUAUGUUAAGAAUUCAUUCAAACUUGGUGGAUAUUAGGUUGAAUUGGUUAGAUGCAAGGGGUAAUCUCUGGUUCAUGUCAAACUUGAGAUGCCCGUCACGACCAGGCCUUGGUUUGGGUCGUGAAACUAUUCUAAUAUCAAGUGUGGCAUGAGUAUGUGCAUUUAGCACCAACGGUUGUAUUCUUGAUCCUCUUAGAAUUUCAUUGACCUCUAAAUGUAUGCAAUGCCUUAUUUGUGUUCAAGAUUGGCUUAUUCAAGAGACUAGCCCUAUUUGUGUUGAAGAAAAUUUGAAGUUUCUUGAGUUAAUUGAACUUGGUAAGAAUUUAUAUUUUUUAUGUGUUUUUACAAAAUAAAUAAUAUACUUAUUUGUGUUGUAGGUAUAAUAUAUUUGUUUACAUUUUCGUUAGAGAUUGCAAAUAGUAGAAGACUCUUGCAUUGUUGAUGUAUGAUUGCGAUUUCCCAGUACUUAGUAGUGGUGAUGAUUGAUGAGCUCAAUAGUCAAUAUAGUUUAUUUAUUUGGUUAUGUCCUUUUAUCUUGUAAAUUGUAUGUUAUCUUUCAACUUUUAAUUUUAUCUUAAAGGUUCAAGGCUUCAAGCGAUGUGGCACAUUUUCUUUGUACAAGCAUAUCAGGAAGUGCAUUAUAAAAUAGAAAAAGAAAAUAAUUCAUAUUUGGAUAUUUAUGCUACUGUCCAAGCGAUGUUAGCUUGUAAGAUGAUUUGUCCUCAUGUUUGUAAGCUAAGUAUUUCGCUAUUUUCUGGCUUACUACUGUUUUGGCGAGGCUACUGCUACAAUAGAUGACUAAUUGCUAAUAAUUUUGUAAUGCCAUUUAUUAAUCUGUUAUUGUUUUAUGAGUUUUAAGUUUUU